CUUUUUGCGGUCUGGGCUUGCUGUGCCCCACAGCUCUCAGGAAGCCCUUACCCCAAAAAGGAUC
rnacentral:pre_miRNA from 1 species